CUGAAAGAUGUACAAAUUAAGAAAUGGAGAAUGAUGGAAGGACAGUGGUCAGUAUAUGAAUACAUUAGUGAAAUGACAUGCAUGUGUCUGGAACUUUGGUUCUCUACACCAACACCGAAAAGAUGGCUAGUUGGCACCUGCUUCUUCCUCUUUUUUUGGCGCAAUUACUACUGCACUAUUGGCUUCCUGAUGCCCGUGUUUGGCAAAUAAGCUAUUUCUCACACAAGAAGCCACUGACUUCUGCAUCUCAAAAAGGUGCUUAGCUUUUGGCUGAAGGGGCAACCAAGAAGCUCAUGUAGGAGCAACAGAAGCAUAUUGCUGAUAUUCUAAGAAAAAGGUGAUGUGGCAAGGAAUGAAGUAGGCUUGUGCCUUUCUUCUCUUCAGUGAAUUCCAGAGAAGAUUAAAACCCUUUCUAGUACAUGCUUUGCAAGAAUGCCAUAAUUUGCUUUUAUGUUUUGCUUGAUGUUCACUGAGGAAUGUGGUUUGGCAACUUCGGAAUCAUCACAGGAUCAUGGAUGUUAAAUAUGUAACAAAAGAACUUUCUUUGCAAAAGCUAAGAAAAUACAGUCUGAAUAAAAAUGAGAUUUUUGAUAUUUUUCUCUUGGUA
rnacentral:lncRNA from 1 species